rnacentral:rRNA from 1 species
AUUGAACGCUGGCGGCAGGCCUAACACAUGCAAGUCGAACGAGUGGCGGACGGGUGAGUAAUGUCUGGGAAACUGCCUGAUGGAGGGGGAUAACUACUGGAAACGGUAGCUAAUACCGCAUACCAUCGGAUGUGCCCAGAUGGGAUUAGCUAGUAGGUGGGGUAAAGGCUCACCUAGGCGACGAUCCCUAGCUGGUCUGAGAGGAUGACCAGCCACACUGGAACUGAGACGCGGUCCAUACUCCUACGGGUGGGAGCAGGGGCGAAUAUUGAACAGUGGGCGCAAUCCGGAUGCAGCCAUGCCGCGUGUAUGAAGAAGGCCUCCGGGUUGUAAAGUAUUUUCAGCGGGGAGGCGUUACCCGCAGAAGAAGCACCGGCUAACUACGUGCCAGCAGCCGCGGUAAUAC